rnacentral:rRNA from 1 species
UACGUAGGGUGCAAGCGUUGUCCGGAAUUAUUGGGCGUAAAGGGCUCGUAGGCGGUUUGUCGCGUCUGCUGUGAAAGCCCGGGGCUCAACCCCGGGUCUGCAGUGGGUACGGGCAGACUAGAGUGCAGUAGGGGAGACUGGAAUUCCUGGUGUAGCGGUGAAAUGCGCAGAUAUCAGGAGGAACACCGAUGGCGAAGGCAGGUCUCUGGGCUGUAACUGACGCUGAGGAGCGAAAGCAUGGGGAGCGAACAGG